ensembl:miRNA
AAGCAUUAUGUUGGUGCAAUAGUAAUUGAGGGUUUUGCCAUUAAAAGUAAUUGCAAAAACCGCAAUUACUUUUGCACCAACCUAAUAAUUUCA